GACAAACGCUGGCGGCGUGCUUAACACAUGCAAGUCGAACGGAAAGGCCCCUUUGGGGGUACUCGAGUGGCGCACGGGUGAGUAACACGUGAGUAACCUGCCCUUGACUUCGGGAUAACUUCAGGAAACUGGGGCUAAUACCGGAUAGGAAUCCUUGCUGCAUGGUGGGGGUUGGAAAGCUUCGGCGGUUUUGGAUGGACUCGCGGCUUAUCAGCUUGUUGGUGGGGUAGUGGCUUACCAAGGCUUUGACGGGUAGCCGGCCUGAGAGGGCGACCGGCCACAUUGGGACUGAGAUACGGCCCAGACUCCUACGGGAGGCAGCAGUGGGGAAUAUUGCACAAUGGGCGGAAGCCUGAUGCAGCAACGCCGCGUGCGGGAUGACGGCCUUCGGGUUGUAAACCGCUUUCAGCAGGGGCGAAGCUUGUGGUGACGGUACCUGCAGAAGAAGCACCGGCUAACUACGUG
rnacentral:rRNA from 1 species